rnacentral:other from 1 species
CAUAAGCUGCAUUGUACGUAUGGAUAUUAAGUUUUAACCUUUAAGCUGUAACAGGGAGUUUUAUAUAGAGCUGGAAUGACAAGCCUUAUUCUCUUCGGACAAUGAGGACAUGCAGGAUAGUUUCUGCGAACACCCACUUUGAGGAGUGGUGGUUUAAAACUUUCUAAUGAAUGUACGGCAAACGCGGCUUACAU